GAUGAACGCUAGCGGCAGGCUUAAUACAUGCAAGUCGUGGGGCAGCAGGACUGUAGCAAUACAGUUGCUGGCGACCGGCAAACGGGUGCGGAACACGUACGCAAUCUACCCAGAACUGGUGAAUCGCCCCCCGAAAGGAGGAUUAAUGCACCGUAAUAUUAUAAAGUGGCAUCACUUAAUAAUUAAAUCUCCGGCGGUUUUGGAUGGGCGUGCGGCCCAUUAGGUAGUUGGUUGAGGUAAUGGCUCACCAAGCCUGCGAUGGGUAACUGGUGUGAGAGCACGAACAGUCACACGGGCACUGAGACACGGGCCCGACUCCUACGGGAGGCAGCAGUAAGGAAUAUUGGUCAAUGGACGCAAGUCUGAACCAGCCAUGCCGCGUGGAGGAGGAAGGCCCUCUGGGUUGUAAACUUCUUUUAUGGGGGACGAAAUCACUUAUUCUUAAGUGUCUGACGGUACCCCAGGAAUAAGCACCGGCUAACUCCGUGCCAGCCGCCGCAGUAA
rnacentral:rRNA from 1 species